rnacentral:snoRNA from 1 species
GCCACAUGAUGAUAUCAGGGCUGUUGUGAUUCAGUUGGUUUGGUUAAGUCUGGGGACCUUUGACCUAUUAAGGUCUGGAAUCUUGGUGGACAAUACAGAGUUAUGUGUGUUCACUGUAAGGGCGGACCAAUAAGAAUUUUUUCCUACUUUUGAGCUACCUCUCUUUAAUAGGGGUAAUUCUUCCAGUUGCCAGGGAGAAAUUGUGGUAACUGGAGUGAGAGAGUAGGGAUAGGUAUAUUUAGGGUAUCGGGGUCAAGGGUCCCAAAAGACUUAGCUUGUGCUAUGGCCACUGAGAGAUGAAACACAGAUCUUUGGUAAUCUGAUGGCU